UACGUAGGGUGCGAGCGUUGUCCGGAAUUAUUGGGCGUAAAGGGCUCGUAGGCGGUUUGUCGCGUCGGGAGUGAAAUCCACUGGCUUAACUGGUGGCUUGCUUUCGAUACGGGCAGACUGGAGGUAUGCAGGGGAGAACGGAAUUCCUGGUGUAGCGGUGAAAUGCGUAGAUAUCUGGAGGAACACCGGUGGCGAAGGCGGCAUCCUGGACCAACACUGACGCUGAGUGAGCGAAAGCCAGGGGAGCAAACGGG
rnacentral:rRNA from 1 species